AGUGAAGCGGCAAAAGCUCAAAUUUGAAACCCUCGGGAUUGUAAUUUGAAGAUUUGGCAUUGGAGAAAGCUAACCCAAGUUGCUUGGAAUAGUACGUCAUAGAGGGUGACAACCCCGUCUGGCUAACCGUUCUCCAUGUAUUGCCUUAUCAAAGAGUCGAGUUGUUUGGGAAUGCAGCUCAAAGUGGGUGGUAAACUCCAUCUAAAGCUAAAUACUGGUGAGAGACCGAUAGCGAACAAGUACUGUGAAGGAAAGGUGAAAAGAACUUUGAAAAGAGAGUGAAAUAGUAUGUGAAAUUGUUGAUAGGGAAGGAAAUGAGUGGAGAGUGGCCGAGGUUUCAGCCGCCCCUCGUGGGCGGUGUACUGCCGACGCCGAGUCAUCGAUAGCGAGACGAGGGUUACAAAUGGGAGCGCCUUUCGGGCGUUUCUCCCCUAACCCUCCACACUGCCCACCGACGAACAUAAUUCCCACCCCAUUUUUCACCCGGUCUUGGAAAACACGGGACCCA
rnacentral:rRNA from 1 species